UACGUAGGGUGCAAGCGUUAAUCGGAAUUACUGGGCGUAAAGCGUGCGCAGGCGGUGAUGUAAGACAGAUGUGAAAUCCCCGGGCUCAACCUGGGAACUGCAUUUGUGACUGCAUCGCUGGAGUGCGGCAGAGGGGGUUGGAAUUCCGCGUGUAGCAGUGAAAUGCGUAGAUAUGCGGAGGAACACCGAUGGCGAAGGCAAUCCCCUGGGCCUGCACUGACGCUCAUGCACGAAAGCGUGGGGAGCAAACAGG
rnacentral:rRNA from 1 species